rnacentral:misc_RNA from 1 species
GGUUGGAUCAUUACAAAAUUGGUAUCUUACCAAACAUUGUGUGCACCAUAACUGUUCUUGGCAGUGUAUUGUUUGAGUCAGAUGGCUGGAUCCUUGAGUCGAUUCCUCCUUUCGGGGGGGUUCCGAGUCCAAGGUUGAAGGCCACACCUGGCCAGGCAAUCUCUGCCGCCUGUCUAAACAUUGUAUUCAAAACAUUUAGUCUGACUCAGUUCACCAACAAAGUGAAAUGAAAAACAACUUUUGACAACGGAUCUCUUGGCUCUCGCAACGAUGAAGAACGCAGCGAAUUGCGAUAAGUAAUGUGAAUUGCAGAAUUCAGUGAAUCAUCAAAUCUUUGAACGCACAUUGCGCUCUCUGGUAUUCCGGAGAGCAUGCCUGUUUGAGAAUCGAUAAACCCCUCACAUGUCCCUUUCUUUGGAACAUUCAAAGUAAGGUGUACCCCUGUGGAUCUGGAUCGUUUGAGGACCUCUCGGUCUUCAAUGAUCUUAAAUCAAAUGUCUACAGCUCUUGUUGUCCUCAGCAUAGCCCAAAGUGCAUGAAUGGAGUUUGCAAAAACUUGAUCCUCACGAUGGUGUUUUGUUGUCCGUGGCAGCUGAGAAUUGUUUGACUCAACCAUUACAUUGGGGAGGGCAUCCCUGUGGUGCCCUUCUCAAAAACUUGGUCUCAAAUCAGGUAGGAAAACCCGCUGAACUUAAGCAUAUCAAUAAGCGGAGGAAAAGAAACUAACAAGGAUUCCCCUAGUAACGGCGAGUGAAGCGGGAAUAGCUCAAAUUUGAAAUCUUACAGGUUUCCUGUACGAAUUGUAGUUUAGAGAAACGUUUUCGGGUGUUGCUUGAGCAAUAAGUCCUUCGGAAUGAGGCAUCAUAGAGGGUGAGAAUCCCGUCCUGGGCUCAAGCUAUCACUUAUGUGAUACGUUUUCCACGAGUCGGUUUGUUUGGGAAUGCAGACCAAAAUGGGUGGUAAAUACCAUCUAAAGCUAAAUAUUGGCGAGAGACCGAUAGCGAACAAGUACCGUGAGGGAAAGAUGAAAAGAACUUUGAAAAGAGAGUUAAAUAGUACGUGAAAUUGUCAAAAGGGAAACGCUUGAAACCAGUAUUGCUUGCAGGUAAUCAGCCACACGUUCAGUGUGGUGCACUUGCCUGUCGGCAGGUCAACAUCAGUUUGAUUUGGGGUAAAAAGCCAGAGGAAGGUAGCCCAGAGCUUGCUUUGGGUGUUAUAGCCUCUGGUCCUGCCCUGGAUUGGACUGAGGACUGCAGCGUUUUUUGGGUACCCAGUCGCCUCUCGAAACCAGCUUGCAGACAGCGUGCUGACUGUGAGUUUGACGUAGGGAGCCCGGUUGGUUUUCCACACCAACGCUUGGGAUGUUGACGAAAUGGUUUUAAACGACCCGUCUUGAAACACGGACCAAGGAGUCUAACAUAUAUGCGAGUAUUUGGGUGUCAAACCCUCAUGCGGAAUGAAAGUGAACUUAGGUGGGAUCUUCGGUGCACCAUCGACCGGUCUGGAUUUUUUUGAUGGAUCUGAGUAAGAGCAUAUCUGUUGGGACCCGAAAGAUGGUGAACUAUGCCUGAAUAGGGUGAAGCCAGAGGAAACUCUGGUGGAGGCUCGUAGCGAUUCUGACGUGCAAAUCGAUCGUCAAAUUUGGGUAUAGGGGCGAAAGACUAAUCGAACCAUCUAGUAGCUGGUUCCCUC